GCCGCCUGCUCGCCGGGGCCGCGCGCUCCCGGGGGUCGCCCCCCCCCCACCCCCGCCUGCAGCCGGGGACGACGCGGGCUGUACCUGGGGCGUGGGCAGCCCCUCGGCACAUUGGAAGAGUCGCGAAGACUGUGCUUCUGGGCUUUCAGGGCAUGAGCGAGGCCCCCCCCGGCCUCAGCGCCUCGGUAUUUGGAGGAAGGACGCUUACUCGGUCCCCCGUGAGCCAGCUUUACGCGUGACCCGUCGCGGUGGAGAAGUUGCAGGUGACCCCCGCGUUACAGAUCAGGAACCGCAGUUCGGAGGAUUGAUGACCUGCCCCCGGUGCACCGAGGCCACAUUUUCGGCCUGGCCCCUUAGCUGCCCUCUCCCUCCGCCAAGCCCGCUCUCAGAAAGGGAGGGAGGGAGGGAGGGUCUGCUAUACUCUUUCACACCAAGGGGCUAAUGAUACAACUAAUGUGUCGGUGUUCGUAAGCAGCUUUACAUAGGAAAGCCCCCACAUGGGCUACGGUGUGGUGGUUCUCAAACGGGAGAGGAAUGGACACUCUCCACUAUCUUAAGGCCAAGUCCUCAAACCUCCCCAGUAUUAGCUUAGUUUCUUUCAUAAGUUACUUACUGUAUAUAAACAUUAAAUCAGAUAGAAAUUUAUGUUACAGCUUAUGAACGAUUCUGGAAUAAAGCCAAAGCAAAUUUAUAGAUUAUAUAUAAAAAUCCCCUCCCAAAACAGUGACAUUAAA